UAACAGUCUGUCUCUCUGUGUCAGCCCUGGGUUAGAUUCGCGACCUGUCCAGGUUGUACCCCGCCUUUUGCCAUAUGGAAGCUAGGUUAGGGUCCAGCCCAAGCAGAAGAGAAUGGAUGGAUGACACUAAGAACCAGGCCUGUGACGACUGGCAGCCUGUCGAGAGUGUACCCUGCCUCUUGACCAUUGUCCCCUGAGAUAGACUCCAGCCCCCAUUGACCCUGAAGUGGAUAAGUGUUUAAAGACAUUAAGAGACAUUAAUGAAUGGAUGGACGUCUCAUGUGGUACUUAGACUCUGAGAGAGACUUCACUGCUGGACUCACUCAACUAAAAGGUGUGGGCUGACGUAGAGACACUGAGUCAAAUCCCCCGGAGGUAUGUUUUGUUUAUUGUUUUCCAUUAUUUGGGCCCAUUUUUCCUUUUAUGUAAUGCUAUUGUUUUUUUAUUGUAUAUGUAAGUUAUUAUUCAUGUUGAAAUUGACAGGUUGUGUUGACCUUGACAAAAAUACAAAUGAAUAAAAGUUCCUCAAACUCAUUCAUCCACUUUGCUCCAGCAGUCGAACCUUAGCAGUUGGUACUCAUGUAAUUAUUAAAAUCUGU